UUUAUGGAGAGUUUGAUCCUGGCUCAGGACGAACGCUGGCGGCGUGCCUAAUACAUGCAAGUCGAGCGAACAGAAAAGGAGCUUGCUCCUUUGACGUUAGCGGCGGACGGGUGAGUAACACGUGGGCAACCUACCCUAUAGUUUGGGAUAACUCCGGGAAACCGGGGCUAAUACCGAAUAAUCUCUUUUACUUCAUGGUGAAAGACUGAAAGACGGCAUCUCGCUGUCGCUAUAGGAUGGGCCCGCGGCGCAUUAGCUAGUUGGUGAGGUAACGGCUCACCAAGGCGACGAUGCGUAGCCGACCUGAGAGGGUGAUCGGCCACACUGGGACUGAGACACGGCCCAGACU
rnacentral:rRNA from 1 species